GGGGAGAGCUGGGCAGCCGGCAGUGGAGACCCCCUGCAGCUGCUUCUUGCAGAGAGGGAGAUCCAGGAGAGCUGCUUGACUGCCGACGACAUCUUUCACUUGGAUGCAGGACAGGAGAAGGUCUUGGAGUUGGCAAGACCCCAGCUGGCUCUGCUGCCCCUUGGCUACAGUGUGUCCCUGGUGCUGUGGGACCCAAACGGCCCUGGGACUCAGCUGCCACUGCAGGACAUCAUCUGGCAGGUGAUCAACACCGUCUUUCAAGAGCUGGAGGUGUCAGGGAGCAAUGUGCAACGCCUGCAGACAGUCAGCCUGGUCCAGGUAUGAUGGCAUCAGGGCUGGCCAGGAUA